rnacentral:rRNA from 1 species
CGGUGGAGUAUGUGGUUAAUUCGAUGCAACGCGAAGAACCUUACCUGGUCUUGGCAUCCCGGAGACCCUUAGGAAACUAGGGGGUGCUUCCAUCUGGAAGAAUCUGGAGACAGGUGCUGCAUGGCUGUCGUCAGCUCGUGUCGUGAGAUGUUGGGUUAAGUCCCGCAACGAGCGCAACCCUUGCCUUUAGUUGCCAGCAGUUCGGCUGGGCACUCUAAAGGGACUGCCGGUGUUAAACCGGAGGAAGGUGGGGAUGACGUCAAGUCCUCAUGGCCUUUAUGACCAGGGCUACACACGUACUACAAUGGCCGAUACAAAGGGCAGCGACACUGCGAGGUGAAGCCAAUCCCGUAAAAUCGGUCUCAGUCCGGAUUGGAGUCUGCAACUCGACUCCAUGAAGUUGGAAUCGCUAGUAAUCGUGGAUCAGCAUGCCACGGUGAAUACGUUCCCGGGCCUU